GAUGAACGCUGGCGGCGUGCCUAAUACAUGCAAGUCGAGCGAACAGACGAGGAGCUUGCUCCUCUGACGUUAGCGGCGGACGGGUGAGUAACACGUGGAUAACCUACCUAUAAGACUGGGAUAACUUCGGGAAACCGGAGCUAAUACCGGAUAAUAUAUUGAACCGCAUGGUUCAAUAGUGAAAGACGGUUUUGCUGUCACUUAUAGAUGGAUCCGCGCCGCAUUAGAUAGUUGGUAAGGUAACGGCUUACCAAGGCAACGAUGCGUAGCCGACCUGAGAGAGGGGUCGACGAAAAGAGAGAUUGAACACGAACAAGGGGACUGAGGGAGGGAGCAGGAUGAGAAAGUACGCAAUAGGAGGAAGAAUGGCGGAGAGAGGCAGGGUAAGUGAGAGAAAUGGUCAGAUCGGAAAACGCUCUUAAGAGGUGGAAACAAAUGUGUAAGGAAAAAUGCAGGGCGUGACGGUACCGAAUAAGAAAGCCAAGGCUAACUAAGUG
rnacentral:rRNA from 1 species